UGUUGUUACGUUUAACGGAGUACAAAUGGUUUGUGAAGCUAAUAUGACUGUUAACUGAGGAAGGUGGAGUUGCUCUAAAAAUUCACCAGCAAAUUCUACCUAGCCCUUCAAGAAGCAAAUUCUUAACUGCCCAGUGAACUUACCUAUGUUUGUAUUUUUUUAGAAUUCAGCGCACAGAGAGUAUUUAAUAUAAUUUCAGAAAAUGGUGGAAGAAACUGAAAAAUUGAGAGCCACAUGGAGUUGCAGUCAGUUUCCUCACAAAGGUGGAGAUCAGAACCAAUAUGGAAAAGAUGAAUCAUCCAAUAGUGGCAAAGCCGUAAAUGGGCUCUGUCCAUGAAAACCAAAAACCGCUCUACGCACUUGCAAUGUGUGCGGCUCACCCAUCUUUUCGCUUGCUGCAGUCUGUGCUCAGAGAGAACACGACCAGCAGAGUCAAGAGCCUUUCCUUCCUUUCCCUCCCUCCAUCUCCCCUCUCCUUUGUGCACGUUCUCAGUUCUAAACGAUCAGGAUCGAAACUCGCCCGGCAUUCUCAAUGGGAGAUUCCAUCAACCACCACCACCAAAAGGGGACGGAGCACUAUGUUUGGAAGGGUACAAGUAAAGGACAUGGUCUUUGCCCUCAAGGAUCUGACAAUCUAACAGAAAAAAAUGGGCCACGGGAUUGGAGAGAUCACAUAGUCUAGAAUUGCUCAACUUGGUUUUUCAAGUUUUCUUGGGGUGGCUUGCCACAAAGGUUGCAGGUUGAAAAGUUUAUUAGUUGGGGCCUGAAUGUUUUCCCUGAACACUCCCUCCCAUUGGGAAACCCUAAACCUUCGGUAACGACCCUCCCCUCUCUCUUGCUACAUCCUCAGUUUGCCUAGUCCCACCUCCCACCAUAGUCCCACCUGUCUGCAGAUCUGGAGGCUCGAAACAGCUGUUUGUUCACGGCAGGGCUCUUAGAAACCUCCUUCUUCCACUUUGGUUCUGUAAAGCAAGAAGCUGAUUCAAUUUUUAUUGUAAGAACUGACAUUCUUUGGUUUAAGGAAGAAGCAAAUGAGAUUUUGAACCGAAUAAGCCUUUGUUUGUACGAUUGGUUUGUUGUCUUUGUAAUUUAACCUCCUGUAAUUAGUUUAAAGUGCCGUCAUGGUUUCUCAGUAAUUAUAAUUUAUUGGCCCAAGAAUUUUAGUGGAAUUUUGUAAUACUUUUGCUUGUAAAGUACAAGCUUUAUUUUAUGCUUUAUAUUCCUUCAUUGUUUAUUGGAGUGAAUAAUUAUAAAUACAUGAAUAAACAGGGGGUGACUCCAAAAUUACCGUCA